rnacentral:lncRNA from 1 species
CACUUCUCUGCUGGUCCCUGCCUGUGUAAACACCAUGACUCUGGGUUCUGCUCAGCAGACUGAAGGGAACACAACUAUGAUGAUUCUCUAUGCUGUACUUGGAGAAGGCUGGUUAGUCAUAAGUUUUAAAGCAGGUCAGUAUGGUGGAUUUCCAGUCUGCCAGCCUCCUUUGCAGUGGGUUGGGACCGAGUGACGGCUUCUGGCAAAUGAACUGGAGACCAUGAUGAUGACAUUUGGAAGCAUCUCAGGAGACAAGAAUAAAACGCCAUUUUUUUUCCCACUUCGCUAACAACUCAGUGUUCUGAAAAGUCUGGAAUGUGCUAUGAAAAGUUUGUGUGCUUAGUGAAAUGUUGUACAAUUGGCCAAUCCACUAAGUCUUGGGAAAUGUCUUAGGAGCUUGGCAAGAAGAAGUUCUCAAGAGAGCCUGAAUGCUGCCAGUUUCCAAUUGGCCAAGACACAUUACAAGGACAACUGUCUCUCUGAGCAACCUGGCAUUUCCACUCCAAUUGGAAUCUGCAAGGGGAAGAUGCGCAGGGGAAGAAGAUUAAACAAACCUUUUCAGAUUUCUGGUCCAGCCUACUCAACAUGAAGAUGACAAGAAGGAAGACCUUUAUGAUGAUCCACUUUUGCUUAGUAAAUAUAUUCUCUCUUCCUUAUAAUUUUCUUAAUAAUAUUUUCUUUUCUCUAGCUUAUUUUAAGAACACAGUAUAUAAUACAUGUAACAUAUAAAAUAUGGGUUAAUUGAUCGCUCAUGUUAUCAAUAAGACUGCAGUCACAGUAGGCUAUUAGUAGUUAAGCUUUUGGGGAGUCAAAAGUUGUAUGUGGAUAUUUGAAAGCACAGUUGUUCGU